rnacentral:rRNA from 1 species
CUACGGGCCGCUGCAGUGGGGGAUAUUACACAAUGGGCGAAAGCCUGAUGCAGCAACGCCGCGUGAAGGAAGACGGUUUUCGGAUUGUAAACUUCUAUCAGCAGGGAAGAAAAUGACGGUACCUGACUAAGAAGCCCCGGCUAACUACGUGCCAGCAGCCGCGGUAAUACGUAGGGGGCAAGCGUUAUCCGGAAUUACUGGGUGUAAAGGGUACGUAGGCGGCUGAUCAAGUCAGAUGUGAAAGCCAGGGGCUCAACCCCGGGACUGCAUUUGAAACUGGUCGGCUAGAGUGCAGGAGAGGAAGGUGGAAUUCCUAGUGUAGCGGUGAAAUGCGUAGAUAUUAGGAAGAACACCAGUGGCGAAGGCGGCUUUCUGGACUGUAACUGACGCUGAGGUACGAAAGCGUGGGGAGCGAACAGGAUUAGAUACCCCGGUAGUC